rnacentral:rRNA from 1 species
AUUGAACGCUGGCGGCAGGCCUAACACAUGCAAGUCGAACGGUAACAGGAAGCAGCUUGCUGCUUCGCUGACGAGUGGCGGACGGGUGAGUAAUGUCUGGGAAACUGCCUGAUGGAGGGGGAUAACUACUGGAAACGGUAGCUAAUACCGCAUAACGUCGCAAGACCAAAGAGGGGGACCUUAGGGCCUCUUGCCAUCGGAUGUGCCCAGAUGGGAUUAGCUAGUAGGUGGGGUAACGGCUCACCUAGGCGACGAUCCCUAGCUGGUCUGAGAGGAUGACCAGCCACACUGGAACUGAGACACGGUCCAGACUCCUACGGGAGGCAGCAGUGGGGAAUAUUGCACAAUGGGCGCAAGCCUGAUGCAGCCAUGCCGCGUGUAUGAAGAAGGCCUUCGGGUUGUAAAGUACUUUCAGCGGGGAGGAAGGGAGUAAAGUUAAUAC